rnacentral:lncRNA from 1 species
GUACCUGGGGCUAGGACUCCACCAUCUCUUUCUGUGCAACGGAAGGGAGACAGCAACAUGAAGCAGAUUUGAAAACUAUUAAGAGACUACGUGAAUGCUUCUAAAAGUGCUAAAGAUGUCCUUGAUGAACAGCUUUACAAGCCUCUACGUGGAGUCCCUGAAGAAUGAAGUGAUGGUGAUCCAUAAUUUGGUUCUGCUGAAUGCCAAGAACACAGAACACCUGGCCUAGAUCUGCAUAGCAGGAGCAGCGGGAGGCUGCCGGCAGGUGGAGUCACCUGAUGGGGAGCGGAAGGGGCGCACCUGGACCCCCUCACCGAGCCCCACUUUCUCUGAGCAGUAGAGGAGAAAUGAAAAUGGGGAGUGUGAGUUACAGAGAUGGCCACUGUCCCUCUACCAGGCCCUGCUG